rnacentral:misc_RNA from 1 species
CUAACACAAAGCAUCUGCACGCAAGCAUUCACACACAUCUGAUUGAUCAAAAAACACAAACCAUCUUAAUUUCAAGGGAAAAUAAUAAUUAAGUAAAGAAACUAACAUCUAAACAGUUAUUAUGGACAUGGAGCUAAUUAAACACAUAAAACCAACUCAACAAUGCUUCUUCCACGUAAAAAUUUUGUAACAGAGAGAAAGCAAAGUUCUGUUUUCAGAGAGUGAAAGAGAGAGAUUAAUGGCAUCCAAUUUCCAUCCUAUUUUAGAUAAUGAGAUGAACUCACCACCUCGAGAGCGAGAGUUAAUCAUGCACAUGAGUACCCAGCAUGUUCUUCCCUGGACUGAUUUCAAUCCUCCAACCAGAUACCGCCACGCAAAGAGUCACUGCUGGAUCCACCUAGCUAGUUGGGUAGGGUUAACGAUCCCCGUGAUGUGGGCCCCAUCGGUCUUCAAUAUGCUUGCCACCUCAGCAUAACUCUUAUUGUGCUCUUUCUUCCAUCCCGGCUUCCCUCUCUUAGAUUGGACCGAGCCGCCGGCUAAAGGCACCGCCUCAGCACGUGCCGGAUCGAAUCGUUGCCCGAACAAAGUGCCUUUUGUCAAAAACUCGUAAGCCAUGUACCCAGCCAGCAACCGAUUAGAAGAAACGGACUCUUCAUCAGCUUUUAAAGCCGGCUUAGCUGAGAGCUGAGCCAAAGACAAUGGCUUCGUCGGAUAAAAUGCCUCUCGCUCCUUGCGCUUCUUGGAAGCGCCAGGUGGCAAAAUCCUACGAGGAUGAUAGCUCAUCUUCAAAGUGAAAACAUGCCACGUCAAAGGUAAAAAAU